UAGGGGCUGCCAGCCAAGCGGGAGCCGCUUCUGAAUGGAAUGAAUCCCCUUUCCGAGGGAGCUAAUCAAGUUUGGAUUUCAUCAUGCGUCCUGCUCUUAGUUUGUCGAAUGAGCCCCGUGCGGGAAAUCCCUGUGUUAGACAGUGUAGCCCCUUGUCAUGGAGUGUCGGGGAGUCAGGGCCCUGCACCUCCCUCUUCCUGCGUUUCACCAUGACUCUCAGCCAGCCAGUAAAACAGAAGGUUUAUUGGACGACAGGAACACAGUCCCAAACAGAGCUUGUUGGUACAACCAGGACCCCUCAGACAGGUCCUUCUGGGGGGGCAGGGAGCUUAGACCCCAGCCUUGGGGUCCCCUCCGUUUUCCCAGUCUGCUCCCAACUCAAAACCCCCUCCAGCUGACUCACCCAGCCUCCCCCCUGCUCCUCCUCCAGCCUUUGUCCAGCUUCGGGAGCAAAAUGUGUCACCUCGCCCCCAAACCCGCUCCUGGCUCAGGUUACAUUGUCCCUCCAGUGAAGCCACCCCCUGCUAUCCCAACCCCAGUUCAGACAGUCCCAGUAAAACUCCCCUGCGACAUUCCCAGGUCACUCCGCCCUGCUCCGUCACACCUCUAGAGUGUCAUCGAAGGUGCAUAGUGCAAUUCCGGUCCUCUGGUCUCUGAAGGCCUUCUGUAGGCAAUUGAUAUGUGUUGCUUCCCGGAGCAGUCUCUUAAAAUGGGUUUCAGGGCAGGUGCCCAACCCUCACCUCGUUACUGCAACUGCGUGUGCAAACUGAGCAGGCAGAGGGGCGUUUGUGUGUGCAGCCGUGGCAACUGUCCACCGAACUGGAAGUGUGGCCCCCAGUGUGUCUAUUGAGGGGAGAAGGGCAGACUACAAUUCACAAGCCGUUUGUGCUCCUGUGCACGCAGGGCCGGGUAAAUCUCAUGCAGUUCACCCAGCUCUAGCCCAAGGGGUGGAUCCACACAGAUGUGCAGGCUGUGUGACAUACCCCAGGGCGUGCACUCCCAGAAACAUAAACUACCAUGUACGCUCCAGUAAUGAGCCAGCAUCUCUGCUAACGGACACCGCUCUGCAGAAGAGAGCGCUCUGACACUCAGGCCUCAGGAUCCAGUAAUAUGAACCACGCAAGCUGGUGGUGAUGACUGUACCCUGUAAGCUAUGCAGAGAGCAAAGUCCAGCCGAGACAAGCUCUGGUCCUGCCCACUGGGCUCAGGGCAGGUUCUCAUUAGUCCAUCUGAGAAGAGCCUCACUAGGGAGCGAUCAUCAAAGUCCUAGUUUGUAUCCUAGCUCUGGAAGGGACUGGGAUCUAGUGGUUAGAGCAGAGGAGUUUGAGAAUCAAGACUCCUGGGUUCUCUCCCCAGCUCUGCCACUGAUCUACUGUGUGACUUUGGGUGGGUCACUUUCCCCCCUCUGUGCUUACGUUUCCCCCUCUGUGCGAUGGGAAGAAUAUCACUCCCCCAACUCUGUCACGAGCUUUGGGAUCUCAGGCUCAAGUAGCACAUAAGAGCAGAGAGUUACUCCUGAACUCAUGAUACACCCUCUCUCCGUCCUGCAGCCAAGGAGUUCAGGCCUGCGAAAAGUCUUAACCCCCCACUUGGGGAGCUUCUCUCCAAGCUGCCUGUUCUUUGAAGGCUGUUUGUACGGUUGGAUCUGGCGUGUGAGCGGGAGGUGACGCUCUGUACAGCAGCUCUGGGCCUCUUUCCUCACAGCAGGGCACUCAAGCAUGAAACAGCCUGAAAAGAAAAGGAGAGUAAUGAUUUCCUCCGGGGCUCUAGGCAGAGUCCAUUGAUUCUCUCCAGCAGGAAAGCCAUGUCCACUUGCUUCUGCGGCUGCAGAGGAAGCCUGUUUAAAGUGCUCCGGGACAAGGCCGGGGAGACUCGAGGAGAGCAACAGAAGGUGCGGGAUGCAGUGCGUAGCCUUGCUGGGGGUCACCACCCUGGCCCUGGUGCUGGCCUUGGCCGGCCCAUCUAAAGAAGAAGGCAAGAAGAAGGAAGAGAAGCCCAGAGCUGACGCUGCAACCGAUGACAACCUGGACCUGCCCAACUACGACUUAGACAACUAUGGAGAGAUCAUUGACCCGAGCCUCUACGAAGAGCUUUAUGACUACAGUGACCUGGCACCAAAGAUUGAGGUUGGUACGUUGGCUCCUCCAACCCAGCGUCUAGAGGGCGUCAUGAGCACGAGAGCUGUGCCAACCGAAGCACCCAGGAGGCCACCCCCAACAUCCCCCACGACCAAGCCUGUCGGGCCAGGUCUGUUCGGGUCCAUAACCGAACAGGGUCUGCCCACCUGCCUGGUCUGCGUGUGCCUUAGCACCUCCGUGUACUGCGACGAUGCCGAGCUGGAACAGAUCCCGCCACUGCCCCUGGAGACCACGUACCUCUACGCCCGCUUCAACCGCAUCAGCCGCAUCCAAGCCAGCGACUUCGCCAGACUGAAGAAGCUGAAGCGAAUAGAUCUGACUAGCAACUUCAUCUCCUGGGUGGGCGAGGACUCCUUCCGGCUGCUGAGCACCCUGCAAGAGCUCAUCCUCGCCGAGAACAGGCUGACUGCGCUGCCCGCAUUGCCCAGCAGCAUCGUGCGGCUCGAUGCCCGGCUCAAUAGGAUCCAGAGCUCCGGUGUCAGACCUGAAGCCUUCAGGGACCUGAAGAAGCUGCAGUUCCUCCACCUGUCUGAUAACAAGCUGGACUAUAUCCCAGUGCCCCUGCCCGAGGGCCUGCGGUCCCUGCACCUGCAGGUGAGGCAGUGACUAAGUCAAGCAAGGGCACCCAGCCAGACUGGGUGAUGGUCCCUUAAAGAUACAGCCACUCUUUGAUUUUGCAUUUGCUUUUGAAUUUUGCUGCCCUUGCAGUCAAGGGACGGAGAGCUCUGGCUAGAGACAGGUAUCAUGCAGAACAACAACAUUCAAACCAUGCACAAAGACACGUUCUGUGACAGCCAGGACCACAGUCACAUCCGCUGGGCCCUGGAGGACAUCCGCCU